ACACACCAAUUUGGGUGUUAGAAUAACCGCAUACGAUGUAUGCCUUAACGAAAACAUGACACCAAAACUGUGUCAAUCCGACUCUAGUAGGAAAAAUGAACGAGUUCAAGGUCAAAAGAUCUGAACCGUUGAUUUCAUCAACAAUCAAGGAAAAGAGGUAGACAUCACAGCCUUACCCAAAGAUCUGAAGAAACAACACCAACAAUGCAGUCGCCUAAACGACUGCUACCAAACCCUGGGCUACACCCUAGUAGCCCCACAGAAGUCGCGACCGUAACUGGUCUAAGCACCGUCUCCGUAGAGACACUCGCAACAGCUCUCGUGUCCUAAGUAGAGAGAGUGGCCUGGGCGUCGGCAGUCAUGACACUCGCCUAGGCCCAGAGAUCACUGGCCUUCCAAGGCCCCACCUGACAGGAAUGGCUACACUUGGGGGACGUCGCCCCACCACUCGAUGUCCGAAAAAGUACAUCGCCACUACACCCGACUUAGCCACCAGCUUGUGCGAACCGUAACACAUACAGGAACCAUACGCUUCGAGUUUAACAAACUCGAAUGCACACCGGGACACAAGUCCAAAUCCCGCACUCACGUGCCUAUAUACCGUAGGUCUUCCUAUAGGUCAACCUAGCCAAUGGUUCAGUUCAUUUGGUUCAGUCCAUUUACUUUUCAAAACAACCUGUGAAUGGUGUUGUGGUUGUAACCUUUGCUCUGAUACCAUUUUAAUCUGUCACGCC
rnacentral:lncRNA from 1 species